UUAAGCGACUAAGCGUACACGGUGGAUGCCCUGGCAGUCAGAGGCGAUGAAGGACGUGCUAAUCUGCGAUAAGCGUCGGUAAGGUGAUAUGAACCGUUAUAACCGGCGAUUUCCGAAUGGGGAAACCCAGUGUGUUUCGACACACUAUCAUUAACUGAAUCCAUAGGUUAAUGAGGCGAACCGGGGGAACUGAAACAUCUAAGUACCCCGAGGAAAAGAAAUCAACCGAGAUUCCCCCAGUAGCGGCGAGCGAACGGGGAGCAGCCCAGAGCCUGAAUCAGUGUGUGUGUUAGUGGAAGCGUCUGGAAAGGCGCGCGAUACAGGGUGACAGCCCCGUACACAAAAAUGCACAUGCUGUGAGCUCGAUGAGUAGGGCGGGACACGUGGUAUCCUGUCUGAAUAUGGGGGGACCAUCCUCCAAGGCUAAAUACUCCUGACUGACCGAUAGUGAACCAGUACCGUGAGGGAAAGGCGAAAAGAACCCCGGCGAGGGGAGUGAAAAAGAACCUGAAACCGUGUACGUACAAGCAGUGGGAGCCUCUUUAUGGGGUGACUGCGUACCUUUUGUAUAAUGGGUCAGCGACUUAUAUUCUGUAGCAAGGUUAACCGAAUAGGGGAGCCGAAGGGAAACCGAGUCUUAACUGGGCGUUAAGUUGCAGGGUAUAGACCCGAAACCCGGUGAUCUAGCCAUGGGCAGGUUGAAGGUUGGGUAACACUAACUGGAGGACCGAACCGACUAAUGUUGAAAAAUUAGCGGAUGACUUGUGGCUGGGGGUGAAAGGCCAAUCAAACCGGGAGAUAGCUGGUUCUCCCCGAAAGCUAUUUAGGUAGCGCCUCGUGAACUCAUCUCCGGGGGUAGAGCACUGUUUCGGCAAGGGGGUCAUCCCGACUUACCAACCCGAUGCAAACUGCGAAUACCGGAGAAUGUUAUCACGGGAGACACACGGCGGGUGCUAACGUCCGUCGUGAAGAGGGAAACAACCCAGACCGCCAGCUAAGGUCCCAAAGUCAUGGUUAAGUGGGAAACGAUGUGGGAAGGCCCAGACAGCCAGGAUGUUGGCUUAGAAGCAGCCAUCAUUUAAAGAAAGCGUAAUAGCUCACUGGUCGAGUCGGCCUGCGCGGAAGAUGUAACGGGGCUAAACCAUGCACCGAAGCUGCGGCAGCGACACUAUGUGUUGUUGGGUAGGGGAGCGUUCUGUAAGCCUGUGAAGGUGUACUGUGAGGUAUGCUGGAGGUAUCAGAAGUGCGAAUGCUGACAUAAGUAACGAUAAAGCGGGUGAAAAGCCCGCUCGCCGGAAGACCAAGGGUUCCUGUCCAACGUUAAUCGGGGCAGGGUGAGUCGACCCCUAAGGCGAGGCCGAAAGGCGUAGUCGAUGGGAAACAGGUUAAUAUUCCUGUACUUGGUGUUACUGCGAAGGGGGGACGGAGAAGGCUAUGUUGGCCGGGCGACGGUUGUCCCGGUUUAAGCGUGUAGGCUGGUUUUCCAGGCAAAUCCGGAAAAUCAAGGCUGAGGCGUGAUGACGAGGCACUACGGUGCUGAAGCAACAAAUGCCCUGCUUCCAGGAAAAGCCUCUAAGCAUCAGGUAACAUCAAAUCGUACCCCAAACCGACACAGGUGGUCAGGUAGAGAAUACCAAGGCGCUUGAGAGAACUCGGGUGAAGGAACUAGGCAAAAUGGUGCCGUAACUUCGGGAGAAGGCACGCUGAUAUGUAGGUGAAGUCCCUCGCGGAUGGAGCUGAAAUCAGUCGAAGAUACCAGCUGGCUGCAACUGUUUAUUAAAAACACAGCACUGUGCAAACACGAAAGUGGACGUAUACGGUGUGACGCCUGCCCGGUGCCGGAAGGUUAAUUGAUGGGGUCAGCGCAAGCGAAGCUCUUGAUCGAAGCCCCGGUAAACGGCGGCCGUAACUAUAACGGUCCUAAGGUAGCGAAAUUCCUUGUCGGGUAAGUUCCGACCUGCACGAAUGGCGUAAUGAUGGCCAGGCUGUCUCCACCCGAGACUCAGUGAAAUUGAACUCGCUGUGAAGAUGCAGUGUACCCGCGGCAAGACGGAAAGACCCCGUGAACCUUUACUAUAGCUUGACACUGAACAUUGAGCCUUGAUGUGUAGGAUAGGUGGGAGGCUUGGAAGUGUGGACGCCAGUCUGCAUGGAGCCGACCUUGAAAUACCACCCUUUAAUGUUUGAUGUUCUAACGUUGACCCGUAAUCCGGGUUGCGGACAGUGUCUGGUGGGUAGUUUGACUGGGGCGGUCUCCUCCUAAAGAGUAACGGAGGAGCACGAAGGUUGGCUAAUCCUGGUCGGACAUCAGGAGGUUAGUGCAAUGGCAUAAGCCAGCUUGACUGCGAGCGUGACGGCGCGAGCAGGUGCGAAAGCAGGUCAUAGUGAUCCGGUGGUUCUGAAUGGAAGGGCCAUCGCUCAACGGAUAAAAGGUACUCCGGGGAUAACAGGCUGAUACCGCCCAAGAGUUCAUAUCGACGGCGGUGUUUGGCACCUCGAUGUCGGCUCAUCACAUCCUGGGGCUGAAGUAGGUCCCAAGGGUAUGGCUGUUCGCCAUUUAAAGUGGUACGCGAGCUGGGUUUAGAACGUCGUGAGACAGUUCGGUCCCUAUCUGCCGUGGGCGCUGGAGAACUGAGGGGGGCUGCUCCUAGUACGAGAGGACCGGAGUGGACGCAUCACUGGUGUUCGGGUUGUCAUGCCAAUGGCACUGCCCGGUAGCUAAAUGCGGAAGAGAUAAGUGCUGAAAGCAUCUAAGCACGAAACUUGCCCCGAGAUGAGUUCUCCCUGACUCCUUGAGAGUCCUGAAGGAACGUUGAAGACGACGACGUUGAUAGGCCGGGUGUGUAAGCGCAGCGAUGCGUUGAGCUAACCGGUACUAAUGAACCGUGAGGCUUAACCUU
rnacentral:rRNA from 1 species